rnacentral:rRNA from 1 species
AUUGAACGCUGGCGGCAGGCCUAACACAUGCAAGUCGAGCGAGCGGCGGACGGGUGAGUAAUGUAUGGGGACUGCCCGAUAGAGGGGGAUAACUACUGGACACGGUAGCUAAUACCGCAUACUAUCGGAUAACCCAUAUGGGAUUAGCUAGUAUGUGAGGUAAUUGCUAACCUAGGCGACGAUCCCUAGCUGGUCUGAGAGGAUGAUCAGCCACAAUGGGAAUGAGACACGUCCCAGCCUCCUACGGAGGCAGCAGUGGGGAAUAUUGUGCAAUGGGCGAAAGCCUGAUGCAGCCAUGCCGCGUGUAUGAAGAAGGCCUGAGGGUUGUAAAGUACUUUCAGUCGGGAGGCGUUACCGACAGAAGAAGCACCGGCUAACGCCGUGCCAGCAGCCGCGGUAAUUC